rnacentral:misc_RNA from 1 species
GUGAAUCAUCGAAUUUUUGAACGCAAAUUGCGCCUUUUGCUGAAGGCAUGUCUGUGUGAGGUCACCAUUUAACAAAUAAUGUGCAGCGUUGUUUUUUGCACACGUUGAUUAGCGUUCCAAGGAUUGUAAAUUUUUGGUGGCGCAUAAUGAACAGCGUGAAAGGUUUUUUCAGUUCGAGUGUAGUAAAAUCUUUGCUUGGG